rnacentral:rRNA from 1 species
UACAGAGGGGGCAAGCGUUGUUCGGAAUUACUGGGCGUAAAGCGUACGUAGGCGGCUUUGUAAGUUAGAGGUGAAAGCCCGGGGCUCAACCCCGGAAUUGCCUUUAAGACUGCAUCGCUAGAAUCAUGGAGAGGUGAGUGGAAUUCCGAGUGUAGAGGUGAAAUUCGUAGAUAUUCGGAAGAACACCAGUGGCGAAGGCGACUCACUGGACAUGUAUUGACGCUGAGGUACGAAAGCGUGGGGAGCAAACAGG